CCUACGGGAGGCAGCAGUGAGGAAUAUUGGUCAAUGGACGAGAGUCUGAACCAGCCAAGUAGCGUGAAGGAUGACUGCCCUAUGGGUUGUAAACUUCUUUUAUAAAGGAAUAAAACGAGGCACGUGUGGCUUUUUGUAUGUACUUUAUGAAUAAGGAUCGGCUAACUCCGUGCCAGCAGCCGCGGUAAUACGGAGGAUCCGAGCGUUAUCCGGAUUUAUUGGGUUUAAAGGGAGCGUAGGUGGGUUGUUAAGUCAGUUGUGAAAGUUUGCGGCUCAACCGUAAAAUUGCAAUUGAUACUGGCAGUCUUGAGUACAGUUGAGGUAGGCGGAAUUCGUGGUGUAGCGGUGAAAUGCUUAGAUAUCACGAAGAACCCCGAUUGCGAAGGCAGCUUACUAAACUGUAACUGGCAUUGAUGCUCGAAAGUGUGGGUAUCAAACAGGAUUAGAUACCCGAGUAGUC
rnacentral:rRNA from 1 species